GCCAGCAUAGCUCAGUUGGUAGAGCUACUGAUUUGUAAUCAGUAGGUCGGGGGUUCGAGUCCCUCUGCUGGCU
rnacentral:tRNA from 3 species